rfam:Felis catus isolate Cinnamon breed Abyssinian chromosome D4, whole genome shotgun sequence.
ACCUGGCUGGCUCAGUGGGUGGAGCGUGUGACUCUUGAUCUCGGGAUCAUGAGUUCGAGCCCCAUGUCGGGUG